rnacentral:tRNA from 1 species
GCAUCUGUAGUGUAGGGGUUAUCAUCCCAGCCUUCCACUUCCUCGUGAACGAUAGCUGGGGACUCGAGUUCGAGUCUCGACAGAUGCA